ensembl:snRNA U2 U2 spliceosomal RNA
AAUGCUUCUUUAACCUAUUGGCUUACAUCAAGUGUAGUAUUUAUUCUUAUCAGUUUAAUAUCUGAUAUGUCCCUCAGCAGGGGACUACAUGUUAAGUGGAUUUUUUGAACAGGGAGUCGGCAAAGGGGCUUGAUCCCUCUGCUUCACGUUAGUGGGGCAGUGAUG